rnacentral:rRNA from 1 species
CUACGGGGGGCUCCAGUGAGGAAUUUUGCGCAAUGGGGGAAACCCUGACGCAGCAACGCCGCGUGAGUGAAGAAGGCCCUUGGGUCGUAAAGCUCUGUCAAUGGGGAAGAAGUUAUUAUGUGUUAAUAGCACAUUUUAUUGACGGUACCCAUGAAGGAAGCACCGGCUAACUCCGUGCCAGCAGCCGCGGUAAUACGGGGGGUGCAAGCGUUAUUCGGAAUUAUUGGGCGUAAAGGGCACGCAGGCGGCCUUGUCAGUCAGAUGUGAAAGCCCGGGGCUCAACCCCGGACGUGCAUUUGAAACAGCAAGGCUUGAGUACGGUAGAGGGAAGGGGAAUUCCUGGUGUAGAGGUGAAAUUCGUAGAUAUCAGGAGGAACACCGGUGGCGAAGGCGCCUUCCUGGGCCUGUACUGACGCUGAGGUGCGAAGGCGUGGGUAGCGAACAGGAUUAGAUACCCUUGUAGUC